GUCAGAGGAUGCAGCUGCGCUGGCUUCUCUCCCCGCGCCACCACGCCGUCUAUUCUUCCUCCCUAAGGUCCAGAUCUGAAGCGGGAGAGACACACGCGCAAAGUGGCAGAAGAGGGCUGCAUCGGUGGUGGUCCGAGCGCUGCUGCCUCCGUCCCCUUCAUCACAUGCAGCCGCCGACUGAGCUCCGCCUCCUCAAUCUGCAUCCCUCUUCGUCGCGCACGGCAACAGGGUGAGGGUUGUGAUGGGAACGCCGGGAUGGCGGCGAGAAGUGGACCUUUGAGCUGGCUGCCGGUCCUCUCAGGUGAGAUCAACUCCAUCCUCCACAGCCUUCUCUGCACCUCCCAUCUCUCUCUCUCUGUGCGCGCGCGUGUGUGGGGCUUGUGUAGGCUGAAUUCAAUGGUAGAUUCAUGCUUUAGGGAUUUGGUUAGGAAAUUAUUUACGAUUUUGAUUAGGAAUGGUCUAAGAUUUAGAAAGGAAGCAGUCCUGUUUCUCUAUGUCCAGUUUGAAAGAAGAGAGUGGUUUCUCAAAUACACUGAGAUUUCCUGGAGAUGUUGGUCGGAGAGUGAGUAAUACAGCAGUCUGCGUGUAGUAUGAGAUUAUCUUGUCUGAUUCUGAGUGCUAUAAAAACAACACGUGUACAUUUCGAUUUGCCUUGAGCUACACUGUAAGCCGGCGAGUUUCAGAUGCACCUCCAAGUAUACCUCAAUCUAGAGAACUAGAGUUCUUCUGGUACUUGUUUCAAUACUGAAACUAUGUGUUUGUGAUCUGUUCAUAGAUACUUUUUAGAUUUGGUUGCUUCCCAAAUAUAGAGCAGUCCGUUGAUUCAUUUUUGUUUCGCAAGAAGUAGCUAUAUUCAUGUAUGGAUAGUAGGAAGUUCAGUAGAUGUUCUUCUGUUUGAUUAGUGCUGAAAUAAGGAACCGGACUUAUGCAUAUAGUGUAUUUUGUUUUAGUCCAUGAACAGUUACCGAGUUGGGUGAUAGUUCUUGACUCUAGGCCACUGAAGUGGUCUCAGGUGAAGACUUGUGGUAUAUUAGCUGCAAAAAAGGUUGGAAGAAGUUAAGAAAGGAAAAUGAUUUAUAUAGAUGCCCCAUGUGUUCCACUCCUAAGCCGCUUCCCAGGUAAUUCUAUUAUAAAAGCAUGAAAUAAACGCAUAAUCUUGAUAACGAGUGGACCAUUCUUGCAGGUACAAGAUUUUACUCCAUGCCAUAGACGUGCAACAUGAUGGUUUAACAUACCAAAGUUAAUGGGCUAUUGUGUGAACUAUGCAGGUUCGGGAGACAAGGAAGGAACCAGAUGCUCCCAAAGUUCUUCUGGUUGAGUCGAUUACUUACUAGCAAUGAUAUUCACAAUGGGAAGCCUUUAUAGCAGGCUACUUUGAUUGAUUCCCAAACUAUGGCUUAGUUACAAAUGUUUUGGUGGUGAUGUUUCAUACACCAGUCCAGUGUUGCUACCCAAUGAUGAGUUGUAUGAAGCACUUUGAAAUGCUUUGAAGAAAGUAUUUUAGGUGGUGGUUCUACUGCUGCUACUCCUGUGACAGCCAAGGCGUAGGUUGCAGCUCGCAGAGUUUUAAGGAUGAAAGGAAGACACUUUCUUUUUGGAGAGACCUUCAAGUGCACGUGGAAGUGUAGUAAGCAACAUUAUGCGACAAUGACACACUUCUUAUUGGUGCGUUCACACCCUCUAAAGACCACAAUCAGACUAAGAUGCCUAAAUAAGCUGUGAGGCUGCAUAUAUAUAAGUGUUUCUGUAAACCGAUAUAAGUAGUUAUUCUACUAUCUGUAAUACAAUCCACAUUGCAUUAUAUUUUCAGCUACAUCUCCUA